UCCUACGGGGCGCAGCAGUGGGGAAUAUUGCACAAUGGGGGAAACCCUGAUGCAGCAACGCCGCGUGAGUGAAGAAGGUUUUCGGAUUGUAAAGCUCUGUUAGCAGGGAAGAGGAAGGACGGUACCUGCAGAGGAAGCCACGGCUAACUACGUGCCAGCAGCCGCGGUAAUACGUAGGGGGCAAGCGUUAUCCGGAUUUACUGGGUGUAAAGGGAGCGUAGACGGCGCGGCAAGUCUGAAGUGAAAGGCAGGGGCUUAACCCCUGAACUGCUUUGGAAACUGCCAUGCUAGAGUGCUGGAGAGGG
rnacentral:rRNA from 1 species